GCAAUGAUGGCCUAGUUGGUUACGACGCUAGCCUGGUGAUGUAUCCUGCAUUGCAUAAUCUAUAUGCAUCCUGCCGUGGGUUCAAUUCCCGCUUUUGCC